rnacentral:rRNA from 1 species
UCCACCCAAAAAUCAAAACCCUUUACCCAUACUGAAUGACCCCAUAUACUUAUGGAAAACCUUAUGUUAGAACUAGUAACAAGAAUAGCCAUUCUCCUAUAAAUGCGAAUGUAAACCGGCCUGAACCACUCACCGGCCCCUAUCGCCAAUGAAUUAAUAGUAACAACCUAUACAAGAAAACCCUACUCACUCAAGCGUUAACCUUACACUAGAGCUUUUCAGGAACGAUUAAAAAAGGGGGAAGGAACUCGGCAAAUUUUAACCCCGCCUGUUUACCAAAAACAUCGCCUUCUGCAAAUCAUAGAAGGUCCAGCCUGCCCAGUGAUAAACUUAAACGGCCGCGGUACCUUAACCGUGCAAAGGUAGCACAAUCACUUGUUUUUUAAAUAAGGACUAGUAUGAACGGCACUACGAGGGUUCUACUGUCUCCCCCCUUUAAUCAGUGAAACUAAUCUCCCCGUGAAGAAGCCGGGAUAACUCUAUAAGACGAGAAGACCCCAUGGAGCUUUAAACUAAGUACCACUUGCACGCCACAACAUCACCGAAACUCAGCAAGUCUGACACACUAGUUUUUGGUUGGGGUGACCGCGGAGCAAAACAAAACCUCCAUGACGAAAGGAGCUUACUCUCCUAAUCAAAGGGCCACCACCCAAAGAAUCAAUACAUUGACUUAAAUUGAUCCAAUACCUUGAACAACGAACCAAGUUACCCUGGGGAUAACAGCGCAAUCCAUUUCAAGAGCCCCUAUCGACAAAUGGGUUUACGACCUCGAUGUUGGAUCAGGGUGUCCCAGUGGUGCAGCCGCUACUAAAGGUUC